AUUGAACGCUGGCGGCAGGCCUAACACAUGCAAGUCGAGCGGAUGAAGGGAGCUUGCUCCUGGAUUCAGCGGCGGACGGGUGAGUAAUGCCUAGGAAUCUGCCUGGUAGUGGGGGAUAACGUCCGGAAACGGGCGCUAAUACCGCAUACGUCCUGAGGGAGAAAGUGGGGGAUCUUCGGACCUCACGCUAUCAGAUGAGCCUAGGUCGGAUUAGCUAGUUGGUGGGGUAAAGGCCUACCAAGGCGACGAUCCGUAACUGGUCUGAGAGGAUGAUCAGUCACACUGGAACUGAGACACGGUCCAGACUCCUACGGGAAGCAGCAGUGGGGAAUAUUGGACAAUGGGCGAAAGCCUGAUCCAGCCAUGCCGCGUGUGUGAAGAAGAUCUUCGGAUUGUAAAGCACUUUAAGUUGGGAGGAAGGGCAGUAAGUUAAUACCUUGCUGUUUUGACGUUACCAACAGAAUAAGCACCGGCUAACUUCGUG
rnacentral:rRNA from 1 species